CUACGGAGGGUGCAAGCGUUAUCCGGAUUCAUUGGGUUUAAAGGGUGCGCAGGCGGAAUGAUAAGUCAGUGGUGAAAUCCUACAGCUUAACUGUAGAACUGCCAUUGAUACUGUCAUUCUUGAGUACACUUGAAGUGGGCGGAAUGUAUCAUGUAGCGGUGAAAUGCAUAGAUAUGAUACAGAACUCCGAUAGCGAAGGCAGCUCACUAAAUUGUAACUGACGCUCAGGCACGAAAGCGUGGGGAGCAAACAGGAUUAGAAACCCCGGUAGUCC
rnacentral:rRNA from 1 species